UACGUAGGGGGCAAGCGUUGUCCGGAUUUAUUGGGCGUAAAGAGCGUGUAGGCGGCUAGAUAGGUCCGUUGUGAAAACUCGAGGCUCAACCUCGAGACGUCGAUGGAAACCAUCUGGCUAGAGUCCGGAAGAGGAGAGUGGAAUUCCUGGUGUAGCGGUGAAAUGCGCAGAUAUCGGGAGGAACAUCAGUGGCGAAAGCGACUUCCUGGACCAGUACCGACGUUCAGGCACGAAAGCGUGGGGAGCAAACAGG
rnacentral:rRNA from 1 species